rnacentral:rRNA from 1 species
UACAGAGGUCUCAAGCGUUGUUCGGAUUCAUUGGGCGUAAAGGGUGCGUAGGCGGCGCGGUAAGUCGGGUGUGAAAUCUUGGAGCUUAACUCCGAAACUGCAUUCGAUACUGCCGUGCUUGAGGACUGGAGAGGAGACUGGAAUUUACGGUGUAGCGGUGAAAUGCGUAGAUAUCGUAAGGAAGACCAGUGGCGAAGGCGGGUCUCUGGACAGUUCCUGACGCUGAAGCACGAAGGCGAGGGGAGCAAACGGG